AUAGCGGAGGAAGAACCAACAGGGAUUGCCCUAGUAACGGCGAGUGAAGCGGCAACAGCUCAAAUUUGAAAUCUGGCGCAAGCCCGAGUUGUAAUUUGUAGAGGAUGCUUCUGGGUAGCGACCGAUCUAAGUUCCUUGGAACAGGACGUCAUAGAGGGUGAGAAUCCCGUAUGUGACCGGCCCGCACCCUUUACGUAGCUCCUUCGACGAGUCGAGUUGUUUGGGAAUGCAGCUCUAAAUGGGAGGUAAAUUUCUUCUAAAGCUAAAUACCGGCCAGAGACCGAUAGCGCACAAGUAGAGUGAUCGAAAGAUGAAAAGUACUUUGGAAAGAGAGUUAAAAAGCACGUGAAAUUGUUGAAAGGGAAGCGCCUGCAACCAGACUUCGCGGCAGUGUUCCGCCGGUCUUCUGACCGGUUCAUUCUCUGUCGCGAGGCCAUCAUCGUCUGGGCCCGCCGGAUAAGACCUUAGGAAUGUAGCUCACCUUCGGGGGAGUGUUAUAGCCUAGGGUGAUGCGGCGAGGCUCGGGCGAGGUCCGCGCUUCGGCAAGGAUGAUGGCGUAAUGGUUGUCGGCGGCCCGUCUUGAAACACGGACCAAGGAGUCUAACAUCUAUGCGAGUGUUCGGGUGUCAAACCCCUACGCGUAAUGAAAAGUGAACGGAGGUGGGAACCGCAGGGUGCACCAUCGACCGAUCCUGAUGUCCUCGGGAUGGAUUUGAGUAAGAGCAUAGCUGUGGGGACCCGAAAGAUGGUGAACUAUGCCUGAAUAGGGUGAAGGCAGAGGGAACUCUGGUGGAGGCUCGCAGCGGUUCUGACGUGCAAAUCGAUCGUCAAAUU
rnacentral:rRNA from 1 species